AGCGGGCUGUGUGGCAGCGCGGAUACAAAUCCGUGAGGAAAGUCCGGGCAUCACAGGACAAGGAUAGCUGCUAACGGCAGCCGAAGGCGACUUCAGGGCAAGUGCAACAGAGAUAUACCGCCGCGGGCUUCCGCGGUAAGGGUGGAAAGGCGAGGUAAGAGCUCACCGCCGGGGCAGGAGACUGUUCCGGCCUGUAAACCCUAUCCGAUGCAACACCGAACGCGCGAAUCCGCUGGUCCGGCGGUCAACAGUGCAACAGGUGGCACCGAGCACAGGCGGCAACGCUGUGCCAAGAUAGAUUGUCACACACGACAGAACCCGGCUUACAGGCCAGCUCGUU
rnacentral:RNase_P_RNA from 1 species